CUCAUUGGACUCGGCAAUGGAGCAACUCCCUUCAUCAGCAUUCUUAAGGAUCUCUUAAAUAACUUGAAGGAUACCAGUUCACAGGAUAUUGAGAGCAGAAAAGGGCCUCAAAGAUUUUUGGUAUAGUUUUGCAAUUUCCAGAUUUAUGUUCUUUUUUAUUUUGCAAUUAUUAAUCUUUUUUUUGGGUUGAAUUUGCAGAUUGAAUUGCCUUCAAAAUGAAGUUUUAUGUUGAAGAUUCACUGAAGGUUGAAUGUCGGUUGAAGAUGGAAUUUCUACAUAUAUUUUUUUUAUUUCCUCUUUUGAAUGUUUGUAUCAAUUCGUCAAAAUUGUUAGUAAUAAGAUUAUACUUCUAGUUUCCUUUAUUAAUUUAUAAUGUUAUUUUUUUUGUUGAUGUAAGAAUGUGCUUGUAACUGUUACUGUACUAAUAACACAAUGUUGACGCUUACAAGUGUCUAUAUAGUAGCUUCAAAUUGCGACA